UGGAGAUCUCCUUUGGAGCCCUGGAAUACACAUUUUGUUUUAAUUUAUCCAGGAUCCAGAAAAGUCCUUCAAAGUACCACUUGGCUGAACCACAGAAGAGUGGCUCAUAGGCUGCCAAGUUCCAAACUGAGCUGCACAACUUACGAAUUCCUGCAAACAAAACCCUGGCCCUGCUUCCAAAGACCUGGAUGACUGCAUUCCUGGUUACCAGGAUACAGCAGAACAAGUUGCAAUGUCCCAUCACAGGAAAUAUAAAGAAUGCUCCAGCAACUGCCAGCAUUUUCCCACCAGGAUUCCAGCCAGCUGUCCUUUAUGCUGCUUGGCACAAGAACUGAAGAGGCAUUAAGAAUAGCAGCAGCUUCUUCAGUGCCAGGCACUGUGCUAAACACUUCCAUCCUGUGAUCCCCAGGCAGCCGUCAUUGCAGGCGUUUUCACUAAAUGGCUGACUCUGCCUAAGGUUGCAGGCUGAAUCUGCGUACUAGGAUUUUAAUCCUGGCAUAGCCACCUCUUGAGGGUCUCUGCCUGGGAAACAGACAGGAUGGAAGCACCCCAUUGAAGAAAUUUUUAGAUAUUAAAAAUUUACAAAUGUUUCCAUGUACCAGUCACCCAAUUUUCUUACUGAUACUAUCUUAUCUGUAUUUAUCAGAAGAAAUAAAUGUUGGUACUUUCUAAA